rnacentral:rRNA from 1 species
AUGACCAACAUGUACAAUAUGCCGUUCGCGCCCUUCAUUAGAAUAAAGCGACAUGGCCAAUCUUUCAUGCUGGGUUGCGCGUUUGUGAGGCAGGAGUUGGCAUCGAGCUUUGAUUGGGUCUUCCGAGCAUUCCUAGAGGCUAUGGAUGGCAAACCUCCUGACAACUUCAUAACUGAUCAGGAUGGUGCAAUGAGGCAGUCAAUACAGAGCAUCUUUCCAUCCACAGUGCAUCGCUGUUGUCGAUGGCACAUCAUGAAAAAGGCUCAAGAAAAAGUUGGUUGGCUGUUGUGCCAGAAUCCAGGGCUCUCUGAUGAUUUAUACUACUGUGUUGACUUCAGCUUCACUAUAGACAAGUUUAAGCAGAAUUGGGCUGGGUUAAUGAUGAAGUACGAGGCUAUGACACACACACACACACACACUUUGAGAAGUUGUACGAAUAUAGGUCAACUUUGGUGCCGUGCUACUUCAAAAACAGGUUCUUCCCCUUCCUGCAGUCUACACAGCAUAGUGAGGGGUUCAACGCGGUCCUAA